UACAGAGGUCUCAAGCGUUGUUCGGAUUCAUUGGGCGUAAAGGGUGCGUAGGCGGCGCGGUAAGUCGGGUGUGAAAUCUCGGAGCUUAACUCCGAAACUGCAUUCGAUACUGCCGUGCUUGAGGACUGGAGAGGAGACUGGAAUUUACGGUGUAGCGGUGAAAUGCGUAGAUAUCGUAAGGAAGACCAGUGGCGAAGGCGGGUCUCUGGACAGUUCCUGACGCUGAGGCACGAAGCCAGGGGAGCAAACGGG
rnacentral:rRNA from 1 species